rnacentral:rRNA from 1 species
CAGCAGCCGCGGUAAUACGUAGGGUGCGAGCGUUGUCCGGAAUUAUUGGGCGUAAAGAGCUCGUAGGCGGUCUGUCGCGUCGGUCGUGAAAACUUGGGGCUUAACCCCGAGCUUGCGGUCGAUACGGGCGUGACUGGAGUUCGGCAGGGGAGACUGGAAUUCCUGGUGUAGCGGUGAAAUGCGCAGAUAUCAGGAGGAACACCGGUGGCGAAGGCGGGUCUCUGGGCCGAUACUGACGCUGAGGAGCGAAAGCGUGGGGAGCGAACAGGAUUAGAUACCCUGGUAGUCCACGCCGUAAACGGUGGGCGCUAGGUGUGGGGGCCAUUCCACGGUCUCUGUGCCGUAGCUAACGCAUUAAGCGCCC